rnacentral:lncRNA from 1 species
UAGUGUGGGAUCCAUCGACUAGGUCGUUACUCCGAGCUCCCACGAUAACCGAUCUUCGAUCAAGCUUCAACAAUAAGUGGCCUCCUUUCGGCCUCCCACAAGAACCAGACUCCGUCCGAGCCUCCACAGCGAAUGGAUUUUGGAUGAGCUUUCGCAAUGGAUGGACUCCAACAUCUGGAUUCUUACAACGAUCGAUCACCUCUGAUGUCUGUCGAACCUCCCCAGCAU